rnacentral:rRNA from 1 species
AUUGAACGCUGGCGGCAGGCCUAACACAUGCAAGUCGAGCGGAUGAGGGGUGCUUGCACCCCGAUUCAGCGGCGGACGGGUGAGUAAUGCCUAGGAAUCUGCCCGAUAGUGGGGGACAACGUUUCGAAAGGAACGCUAAUACCGCAUACGUCCUACGGGAGAAAGUGGGGGCUCUUCGGACCUCACGCUAUCGGAUGAGCCUAGGUCGGAUUAGCUAGUUGGUGGGGUAAAGGCUCACCAAGGCGACGAUCCGUAACUGGUCUGAGAGGAUGAUCAGUCACACUGGAACUGAGACAAGGUCCAGACUCCUACGGGAGGCAGCAGUGGGGAAUAUUGGACAAUGGGCGAAAGCCUGAUCCAGCCAGGCCGCGUGUGUGAAGAAGGUCUUCGGAUUGUAAAGCACUUUAAGUCGGGAGGAAGGGCUGUAGGCUAAUACCUUGCAGUUUUGACGUUACCGACAGAAUAAGCACCGGCUAACUUCGUGCCAGCCGCCGCAGUAA